ACUCAAAUGAAUUGACGGGGGCCCGCACAAGCGGCGGAGCAUGCGGAUUAAUUCGAUGCAACGCGAAGAACCUUACCUGGGUUUGACAUACACCCUGCCGCUCCAGAGAUGGGGCUUCUUUUGGGGGUGUACAGGUGGUGCAUGGCUGUCGUCAGCUCGUGUCGUGAGAUGUUGGGUUAAGUCCCGCAACGAGCGCAACCCUCGUUCUAUGUUGCCAGCACGUAAUGGUGGGGACUCAUAGGAGACUGCCGGGGUCAACUCGGAGGAAGGUGGGGAUGACGUCAAGUCAUCAUGCCCCUUAUGUCCAGGGCUUCACGCAUGCUACAAUGGCCGGUACAAAGGGCUGCGAUCCCGUAAGGGGGAGCGAAUCCCAAAAAGCCGGUCUCAGUUCGGAUUGGGGUCUGCAACUCGACCCCAUGAAGUCGGAGUCGCUAGUAAUCGCAGAUCAGCAACGCUGCGGUGAAUACGUUCCCGGGCCUUGUACACACCGCCCGU
rnacentral:rRNA from 1 species